UUGAAAAUUCAGUUGAUUAAU
rnacentral:piRNA from 1 species